UACAGAGGGUGCGAGCGUUAAUCGGAAUUACUGGGCGUAAAGCGCACGUAGGUGGCGACGUAAGUCGGGUGUGAAAGCCCCGGGCUCAACCUGGGAAUUGCAUUCGAGACUGCAUUGCUGGAGUACGGAAGAGGAGGGCGGAAUUCCCGGUGUAGCGGUGAAAUGCGUAGAUAUGUGGAGGAAUACCGAUGGCGAAGGCAGCCCCCUGGGAUAACACUGACGCUCAUGCACGAAAGCGUGGGGAGCAAACAGG
rnacentral:rRNA from 1 species